ACAGAGAGAGUAACUGAAACUAAAGAAAGGACUGCGGCGUCUAACCAAGGGCAUGCCACAGGGAGGAGAAGUCCCAGUGAACGAGCAGCCUCUGCUUUAGUUCCCUGAAGGAAAAGAAAUUCACAGGAGAUGAAUCUCAGUCUCUCCCUUGAUUAUAAGUAAGAGGUCCCUGGAUCUAAGAGACAGAUCAUGAACUGGGAGCCAUGUGGGAAGAAGACUAGCUUGGAACUCAGUCGGGAUCCUGUCCUGGGUGUCUUCCAGAUUAUCCCCAGUCAUCCAUCUGGUCUCAGGGAACUGGCUUCUUUGCAGUUUUCCAAUGCCUUUGAUUUGGGAGAUGUUACCAGCAUGAUGACUGCAUUUUCAGUGGUGAAAAUUUUUUGCUAUGUCCCAGAAGCAAGGAAUUACAGCGGUGAUACAUAACUUUCACAGGAAAGAAAAAAGAAUUCAACUAAAUGCCUGUUCAUCAGUGCAGCACUGAAAGGGACCAGCCUUAAAGAAUAAAUGUUUUGUUCUUCAGGAUUGCCUUUGUGCUCUAUCCAGUUGUCACCAUCGCUUUGGCUUCUCUAGGCCUGAAGCGCAUAAGUUGCUGAUAUUUACUUGGGCAGUGUUUACAGCUGGAGGCAACCAUCUUACAGGGUGACCAGAAGGCUGAAGAGUGGAAUCACCUGAAGAGUCACUCAUGUGAUACUGGUGGUUGGCUGGAACCCCUACAUGUGGCUGCGUUCCAAAGGCGAGUCUCCCAAGAGAGGGCCAGGUGGGAACUGUAUCACCUUUUAUAACCUGACCUUGGAAGUCACACAGCCAUCAUUUUCUCUCCAUUCCUUUAUUCAAGGUACUCAGAAAGCAUUACCCAAGAAGAGAAAUAGACUCUAUCUCUUUAGGGUGAAGUAGAAAGUUCUGCAAGAACAUGUCGGACUGGAAAUAUUAACACGGCCAUUUUGGGAAAAUACAACCGGGCACAGUAUGUCUUCUUCUUUCCGAUGUCAUCCACGCCACAUUUCUGCAGCGCAAAUAUGGGAAAUUGGCCAGAUCCUCUCGGCUGCCCAGCUGAAUGUGAAUAAUGCAACCUCACUUUUAUUCUAAAAACCAUAUUCAUGCAUUGUGAGAGCUGUACUUAUUAACUAAAUUCAAAAGAAUUUUAAUAUUAUAGGAUUAUGUUUCCCAUGCCCAGCACAGCUAUGAUUUUUAAAGUAAUUUUCCUUUGUACUGUCAAAUUUAUCUUAAUCUAAGAAGGCACAUUGACAAAUUACAGGGAUGGUGAAAGUCUACCUUUGUUUUGUCUGACUCAGGAAAUGUGGGUUUGUAUUAUUUUUGUCUCUAAGCUUACUUCUCAAAUGCAAGAAAAAGAAAUGAUGGAACACAGAAAGAAGAAUCAUGAAAUGUUUUGCUGUGGAAUUCCAAAUAUUCCUCUUAAAUGCAUAUCAUUAUCUCAUUCAGUUGGUUGCCCUUUUGUUUUGUUGAUGGUUUAUUUUGCUGUGCAGAAGCUUUUUAGUUUGAUGUAGUC